rnacentral:rRNA from 1 species
AUUGAACGCUGGCGGCAGGCCUAACACAUGCAAGUCGAACGAGUGGCGGACGGGUGAGUAAUGUCUGGGAACCUGCCUGAUGGAGGGGGAUAACUGCUGGAAAAGGUAGCUACUACCGCUAACCGUCCGAUGUGCCCAGAGGGGAUGAGCUUCUGGGUGGGGUAACGGCUCACCAAGGCGACGAUCCCUAGCUGGCCUGAGAGGAUGACCGGCCACACUGGAACUGAGACACGGUCCAGACUCCUACGGGAGGCAGCAGUGGGGAAUAUUGCGCAAUGGGCGCAAGCCUGAUGCAGCAAUGCCGCGUGUAUGAAGAAGGUCUUCGGGUUGUAAAGUACUUUCAGCGGGGAGGCGUUACCCGAAGAGGAAGCACCGGCUAACUCCGUGCCAGCAGCCGCGGUAAUAC